CGGGGCAUAGUAUAUCGGCCGUACGCAUGCUUCGGGAGCAUGAAGGCUGGGUUCGACUCCCAGUGCCCCGACCA
rnacentral:tRNA from 1 species